AAUAACAGGACGUUGUUGUCGGUCCCUCGUGAUGAGGUGGUAAAAGCAUCGACAAAGCUGGGAAUAAUCGUGAUUUCUUCCUACAGCCGUUAUGGCCGCUCCAGCGCCAAACCCCGGUGUGGGCGUGGCUAUGUUACGUCAUAGAGCCUGUCUCACACAGUCGGAACUCGGAAGUCCUGCAACGCUAAGCUGUCCUCGCGGGGGUCUCUGGUGCCAGCUGGUCUGCAUCCCUAGGGACCACGAAGUUAGAGUAGCCAAAUAGGAAGUGGGUUCGGACGUGGACUCAGCCUUUUGUCACUGCUGGUGGUGUUCGGAGAGCCUCCGGAUCAGAGAGAGAGGAAAGGAAAGAGGAAGGGACAGAGAGAAACAUCAAUGCAACAAAGAAGCCUCAAUUGGUUGCCUCCUGUACACGCCUGGACCAGGGAUGGUUCACUCGUACCAGGGACCAAACCUGCAACCUAGAGAGGGAAGAAGGGGAAGAGAGAGAAAGAAACAUUGGUGUGAGA